GAUGAACGCUGGCGGCGUGCUUAACACAUGCAAGUUGAGCGAGUGAGUUCUUCGGAACGAUCUAGCGGCGGACGGGUGAGUAACACGUGGGCAACCUGCCUCAUAGAGGGGAAUAGCCUCCCGAAAGGGAGAUUAAUACCGCAUAAGGUUGUAGUACCGCAUGGUAUAGCAAUUAAAGGAGCAAUCCGCUAUGAGAUGGGCCCGCGGCGCAUUAGCUAGUUGGUGAGGUAACGGCUCACCGAGGCGACGAUGCGUAGCCGACCUGAGAGGGUGAUCGGCCACACUGGGACUGAGACACGGCCCAGACUCCUACGGGAGGCAGCAGUGGGGAAUAUUGCACAAUGGGGGGAAACCCUGAUGCAGCAAUGCCGCGUGAGCGAUGACGGCCUUCGGGUUGUAAAGCUCUGUCUUCGGGGACGAUAAUGACGGUACCCGAGGAGGAAGCCACGGCUAACUACGUGCCAGCAGCCGCCGUAA
rnacentral:rRNA from 1 species